GAUGAACGCUGGCGGCGUGCCUAAUACAUGCAAGUCGAGCGAACAGACGCGGAGCUUGCUCCUCUGACGUUAGCGGCGGACGGGUGAGUAACACGUGGAUAACCUCCCUAUAAGACUGGGAUAACUUCGGGAAACCGGAGCUAAUACCGGAUAAUAUAUUGAACCGCAUGGUUCAAUAGUGAAAGACGGUUUUGCUGUCACUUAUAGAUGGAUCCGCGCCGCAUUAGCUAGUUGGUAAGGUAACGGCUUACCAAGGCGACGAUGCGUAGCCGACCUGAGAGGGUGAUCGGCCGCACUGGAACUGAUACACGGUCCAGACUCCUACGGGAGGCAGCAGUAGGGAAUCUUCCGCAAUGGGCGAAAGCCUGACGGAGCAACGCCGCGGGAGUGAUGAAGGUCUUCGGAUCGUAAAACUCUGUUAUUGGGGAAGAACAAAUGUGUAAGUAACUAUGCACGUCUUGACGGUACCUAAUCAGAAAGCCACGGCUAACUACGUG
rnacentral:rRNA from 1 species